rnacentral:rRNA from 1 species
UACGAAGGGGGCUAGCGUUGUUCGGAAUCACUGGGCGUAAAGGGCGCGUAGGCGGCUGUUCCAAGUCGGGGGUGAAAGCCUGUGGCUCAACCACAGAAUGGCCUUCGAUACUGGUUGGCUCGAGACCGGAAGAGGUGAGUGGAACUGCGAGUGUAGAGGUGAAAUUCGUAGAUAUUCGCAAGAACACCAGUGGCGAAGGCGGCUAACUGGUCCAUAACUGACGCUGAGGUGCGAAAGCGUGGGGAGCAAACAGG